UGUUACAGCUCCGAGAAGAAGAAUGAGAGAGCAAGAGAAUUGUCACUGUGAGGUGAAGUUUUGUUCUGAAUCUUUCUGGAUUGUGGCAAACUCAAAAAAAUGUUUCAUCUUUAUGUCUCACUAUUGAGCGAGUUGAGGGUUUCCUCGAAACAACAAUUGAUGGGCGAGAAUGUCAAAAGAAAGUGGACAACCAGGAGAAGGACUUCAUACUGUAUAACUGAUCACAUAUAUAAGUGUAUAAGGAAUAAUGUGAGACAAAGAACAUUUCCCACCAAGAAUCAACUUCAGAAUCAAGAGGGAAAUAUUUCAACUUCACCAGUCCAACACAAGAGCACAAAGUUGGAACUUCAUCUUUGUAUUUCUAUCUAUUAUCAAAGUUUCUCAGCAGUCCACAGUUGAGGGUGUUAUUGGUGGCUCUGUGGUCUUGCCAUGUUUAGUUCACAAUGUUCAUCUUCAAGACUUUUUUACUGUAUAUUGGAGAUACAAUAAUAAUUCAAGGUAUUCCAAUGAAGAAAUGGUUGUAUAUGCCAUAAAUGAGAGCAAAGAAUCAGUUGCAGGACAAGAUUUGAAGUACAUGAACAGAGUUGAAACUUUCCCUGAGGAAUAUGUGAAUGGGAAUUGCUCCAUCAAAAUCAACAGUCUUCAAGCCACUGAUGAAGGGAAUUACAUCUACCAUAUCACAGAACCUACAAGCCUACAAGAUUUCAAACACAUAAAGCUUCUUUUCAAAGAUAUCCCAAGAGGAACCGGGGACCAUGGGAAACCAGAGUGGAUUGUAUAUUUAUUGUGUAUAAUAGUUAUAUUUCUAUAAGCUUGAAUAUGUGGCCCUUACAGCUGUCAGCUUACACAAGGCCAUCUCAAUAAUUGCCCUGUGACUAUGAGGGCCACCAGCCUGCUUAUAGGUCCCUUUUGCCUUCAUG